GGAAUUUCUAUCAACUAGAUGACAUCAUGAAUGUAACAGUAGUAAGGUUGGUAGUGAAAUCACUCCUGAUAAGAGGAGUUUGAAGUCUAUUAGGAAGUGGAAGAGCAAUGAAGUGACUACCCCUACGAGAACAUUUUACAUCACAGUUGCAAAGAACACAUCUAUCCUCUUCAUUAAAUCAACUGGUGUCCUUGAAGCUCCGGCUCAGCUGCCCUCUGACCCAAGAGAAGCAACAAAAUCCUAAAUCUCACUCCUCUGGCAAGAUCCACCAGGAGAUCCAUGGGGACAUAGGGAAGAGACGAUUGUCCUCACUCCAUCUUCUUCCAAGACCCUCAGAAUGUCUUCCUAGUAGUAGAAAAUAAGACAGAACCACGAUGCUUGAGAAUACACCAGAGCCACGAGAAGAUAAGAGUAAAUGAUAAACAUCAGCUGAGACAAUUUUAC
rnacentral:lncRNA from 1 species